rnacentral:tRNA from 1 species
AGGGAUAUAGCUCAGUGGCACAGCACCUGCCUGACAAACACAGGUUCUGAGUUCAAUUCCCAGUACCACUC